rnacentral:lncRNA from 1 species
GCCUGAGAAAGGUUAAAUAAUUUUCCAGGAUUACACAGUUAGUAGUGCUGGAACCUAACUCCUAUCUGCCUAGUUUCAGAAUUCCCCACAGCACAUCUAACAGGGUGAUGGGAAAAUAGGUGAAAGUCAAAAGACUGUAUUCUGGCUUGGCUUCACAACCAAGUGCAUGGACUUAUGAAAUUUUAUUCUUUCCAGCAUCUAUCAUCAUGUGCACACUGUUUGCUCACAUUUUAUCCUCCAGAUAAACUUGAAAUGGGUCCUCUUUACAGCCCUGCUGCCAAAGUUUUAACCACAGUGAGAGUCCUAAGGAUGUCAAGGAAAACUCAAAGCAGCAGUAAUCAGUUAUAGAAGAUUUGGAGGUUUGGUGCAAAGUUCACACUCUGAAAGUGAACAUUCAGGCACUGUGUCAGAAACUGGGAAUAAAACCACGAACAAGAGUCUGCUCUUAAGCAACUGACAUCUAAUCUGUGUUUUAGCAGAAGGGGUGCCCAGAAGUCAAAGUCCAGACAUUUAAAAGCCCAAAACUGUUGUCUUAACACAAUUCUGAAGAACUAUCAUGGUUCCAGAGCUUCUCAGAAGGUUGUCUGAGGUCUCAGUUAAACUGCGUGGCAGUUCAGAAAACACCAGCGGUCAUAGGACUUGUCCCAUCAUCUGCACAAGGCUGGUGAAUGGCUCAGGUAGAAUGAAAACUGACAACCCAGACCACUUAAUCUGUGGAGAGUCCAGGGGCCAGACACAAUGAGGAUAAGCACUGCAAGGAAGACGAUCGCAAACCAGCCUCUGGAAAACCCAUCCAUACACGCUGCAAGUUCUCUUUUUAUAGACUGAAAUGGAAGUGUAUUUAUUUGGUUUUCUAUAUAAAUUUUCCUUGGAACUGAGGGCUUAUUCACUUCAUUACCUCCAGCAGACUUAUAGUGAGAAUAGAAUUUGUCAACAAUUACUUAAUAUGGAAACUUGGCAAUGUAGAAAAUGAUUUUACAUUCUUAAACUUGAACAAGGACAUUCAGACAGCAGAAAAACUAAUUAGUUUAACCCUUGGUAACAGAAUAACUGACUUGAUUAGGAAUUGAGCAUGGGUGUAGCAAUGCUUAGUUGUACUGAUUCACAAGAGCAGAGCCUAUUGUUAAAAUUUCAGAAAUUCUGCAAACUUGUUGAUGCCAUAGAGUCUUUGUUAAAAAUUUAAUUAUGUAGACUCAUAAUUAAAUAAAUUACAUCAAAAACAAAGCUAAAAUAGUUGUUAUUUCUUCAUGAUGUCCUACAUUUUAUUAUCUAUACUUUGAGGUUAUUUAUAUUUACUAUAUCUGCUCAGUGAAAAUACUAUGUAAUGAUGUGCUGCUGCACAUCUUCUCCCAACUCCACAUUCAGUCAUGUCACGUUAGUAGAUUGAAAUUGGCUAUAGUUGGUGUAUUUACACCAUGGAAAUCAGCAAACACUAAAAAUCAUGGCUGGAUGUAUUGUUUCUUGAUUGCUUAGACUUAAGAAAGUGAUGGAGCAAAUGUUGAUAGUGCAGAUUAAGGCUUAAAAUGUGUUGUAUCUGUUGCAUUGUGAAUAGUACAAAGAAUUGACAAAAUGUUAGUAUUUAAAAGCUAUUAUUUCAUUUAUAAAAGAAUACAUCAUUGCCAAACACAAGUUCCUAGAUCUCUAUACAUUGUUUUCUCAAGAAUCAGUUGUUAAACAUUUACCAGCACAUAACUGAACUAGGAAUGCUUUGAUUUUUAAUAGGCUCCCAAAUUAAUUUUUGUAAUUUUAUGUAUGUAGAUUACCUAAUUUGGUAGAAUGAUUUGGUGUCACUGAAACCUGAAGAUUGGGCCAAUGAUUACAUUAGAGGGUGACAAUGAUAUAACAGAAUUUUUGCAAUGUAAUUAUAAUGCCUGAGAGACUUAUUUUAUUCACAGUAUAGCUGCAUAUACAUAAGUUAUAGUUAUUUUGGAGAAAAGAAAAAAAAUAAUUCCUAAGACCACUAUUUUCUUUUAAACGAAGUGUGUCUUGUUAAAGAAACGGAUCUGUGAAUCUGAGGA